GGGCGGGUGAUGGAAUGGUAUACAUGUAUGCUUGAGGUGCAUAUGGCCGCAAGGCUGUGCAGGUUCAACUCCUGUCCCGCCCA
rnacentral:tRNA from 1 species